AUGCUCACUUGGGCAGCACACAUACUAAAAUUGGAAUAAUACAGAGAAGAUUAGCAUGGCCCCUGCUCAAGGAUGACACACAAGCUUGUGAAGUGUUCCAUAUUCAA